GAUCCCGUAGCAGAGCUUUGAUAGUUUGGCAUUUCUCAUAAAUUGAGCUGUCCUUUAAUGGCAACGAUUCAGUUUUCUUCGUGAUUUUCCACUAAGAACUUCCAUCGCCCUUGUGUCUGUCCACUAUACAUCACGUUAUUUGCUGGAGAAUGUGUUUCACGCGCCUGGCGAUUUGGGGAUUUUUGGCCUUUUCACUGUCGGGCCUGACCGUUGUGGAAAACCUGACAACAAUAGUAACAAGGGGCCCAACUCUUGACGACUGCAUUUGGACGGGCACAGCCCCGUUUUGUGAAGUAGGAUGCGACAUGGUGGGCUAUGUUGCUCGCGAAACCAGCUCAUCGGGCGACGGUGCCACAUGCUGGAGCGGAAUCAAAGUCCUCUGCUGUCCAGCCUCUUAGUCAUGACAGGAUAACGCAAUUGUCUGGCAUCCCAUCCCACUUCUGUGUAUCUACACGCUCUCUCUAUAUACAUGUUAUGCUGUAUCAUCUGUAUAUGCAUAAUGCAUAAUAAGUUAAUAACUGGCAAUUAAAAUUUAUUGAGAAAUCGUCUGGAUGAAAUUUUAUUCGUUUGGAUUACAUAACUUGACUGUCUUAAAUGGGAAAUUAAAUAUGACGCAAAUCGUGUAGUUGUCAGACCGCUUUGAAAAUUUCACCUUGAUCAGUUGUUUUAAAAAU